CUUGGGAGGUGGAGGAGGGCAUCAGCACGCAAGCCAUUCACAUAGCGGCCAUGCCGUUAUAGCUCCUCCUUCCCCGUCCAGCCAAGGAGGCCACGGAGGUGGGGGGUUUUCAGGCUCUAUCACACCUCCACCUUCACCAAAAGGAAAAGGAAAAGCUCCACCGAAAAGCAAACAAGGAGGCGGGGGUUCUAUUUCACCCCCUCCAUCACCUAAAGGAGGCGGGGGACAGGGCCAUACAACGAAAUGAUAA